rnacentral:lncRNA from 10 species
GUGUGGGAACAACUGGAAGCAGCGAAGGGGGCGGGGCACCGAGGGACCCAGGCCUGGCUCCCACCCACAGCUGAGCCGGUUCUCUCCAGUGCUAAGCCCCAGCUCUGGCCCCAGGACGAUCUCCUCCCUGCACACCCCUUACCCAGGAAUCAGGGAGCCAGACAGGGGGAGGGGCAGACAGGGACCCUUUUCACGGACCCCUCCCAUUUGGGUUCAGGCCCUCCCACACUCCCGGCUAGCAUCCUCUCCUUUGUUCUCUUCUUGCCCCACCCGCCCUCCAGCGGGGUGAGGUGGGGGUGCGGGAAUUAACCCACCGAGGUGCUGCCCUAUUUGCGCCCUUCAGCCUUUUACGUGUAAGGGGGAUGUUGGAGGAGCAGCUGGCAGCUUCCCUGCCUCCAGGCUCCUCAGCUUCUGGGCCAAGAAAGGCCAAACUCUUCACCUGCCCCUCCCUGGCAUAACCAGCCCACAAUGAGCACCCAGCACCCUCACCCACACCCCUCCCCCGACACUCCAGCAGCCCUCUGGAAUCUUCUCUCACCUCCUAGACACACACACACAGAGGCACCUCCGGGAGGCUCUGGCCAGGCCUGGGUGUGGCAGGAUAGAAAUGAAAGUUGUCCUGGCAACACACAAGAUUUCAUCAACAUUUCCAUCCCCAGCAGCUCCUGGGCCAAGCCUCAUCUUGCCCAGUGUGGCCUGUCAAGAUGACGGCCUGGAAGAGAAGCCAGACUGGGCAGCCAGGCCUCUGCCCCUCCCCUUGCCUGGUGGCACAGCCAGCACUGGCUCACUGGUGAGUUGACUAAUUUCCUCCGCCACCAUUAGUUGUCCAUGUUCAUUGCUGCCUGACACCCAACACCAGUCUGCAAGGGCACCAGGAGGGGAUGGAAGAGACAGGGUGUCUGGGGAAGGGUGGGUCUGAGUGCGAGGGGGUGGGUGAGCUUGUCUCAGAGCCUGACGCUGGCUGGUGGUAUCUGCGUUACCCAGGCUGACCCAGCUCUCUCUGAUGCAGACAGGCGAGGGCCUCACACACUUCAGAGAAUUCACACCCACAUGAUGAGGCUGAGAGGAGCAGGACGCACAGACACAUGGCAGGCACCAGGAGAGCCAGGCUGCUCUGCUCUGCUGGCGAUCCAUGUGCUGUCCCCCUCUGUCUCUUGACUUUAUUUUCCAUCAGGAGAGCGCCUCCCUUAUUACCCUUGGGAGGGAAAGCUCACAACUCCUCACAGCGAUCUGGUAUCUUGAGCGUCAGUUUCUGGCCGAAACUGGGGGCUCCUGACUGAACUCCCUCCCACCUAGAAAACCUUCUGUGCAGUCUGAUUGCUCCAACACCCACAGAGCAGGAUUCAGGUAUCCCGGAGACCUUGGGAGGUCCCCAUCCAGAGGUCUGCUGUCCUGCCAGGCUUGGGGCAGCAGGGACUGGGACCCCACUCAGACCUCUCUGGGGCAAAUGUUUUGGUUCUCACAACAGCCCUAGUGAAAUCAAUCCUAGAUACUCCCAUUUGGUCCCACCAAGGCCAUUUAAUUUCUCUGUAAAGGGUAAGAUGACACAAAAGAGCCAACUAUGGAAACGGUGAGGUGGGAGUCUGAACCGAUUUAGCUGUUCUCAGGGCGCACAGGGUGUUGACGGUGGUUUUCAUCUGCCACCUGCCUCCUUGAGACCCAGCUGGCCUGAGUGUGCACGAAAUGGGACCUUCUCCUUGGGUCCACCAGGCUGGGAGGCACCCCUAGGUACCCGGCUCCUCAUCACAGCGGCAGCCCUCUCGGUUCCACAUCUGGUUCUCCUGACGAAGCCGCUGGUUUUCGGUCCGGAGCCUCUGGACCUCGGCAGCCAGCUCCUCCACCUGGCGGCAGGACUGCUGGCCGGUGCACGCCUGCAGCUGCUGCAGCCUCCUAGUCUCCUCCUCCGCCUGCGACAGCCGCUUCUCCAGCUCCAGGUAGUCUCGCACCAGCUCCUGCUUGCUGCGGCCCUGCAGGCUCUCGGUGUGGAAGCGUUCGUAAGUCUCAGAGAAGUCCUUCCGCUGGAACUCACCGUGCGCUCGGCCCCGCCCAUCACUGUCCCCGGCCUCACUCUCCCCACUGGAACCUGGGUGGGAGAUCCCAUGGGGCACAUCCAAGUUGGGCUCCUCCGGGUCCCUGUCAUUCAUCAGGAACUGGGUGGUGUUGUAGGGGGCCACGGGCUGGCCUUUGGCGAACAUCUCUUCGCGGACCCGGGAGGCCCUCUGGCUCUGCCUCUCAUCCCGCUGUUGUUUCUCAGCCCAGCUCAGCUCCAGGUAGGGUCGCCAGUGCCUUUUGCGCUUCGAUGGCCGCCGACGGUGUUUCUUCCGGGCCAGCACAGCCUCCGCUGAGCAGCCCCCUGGGCUCUGGGUCCGGGGACUCCUACUGUUCCAGCCCAGGCCACCGACAGCCCCAGCAAGAUCUUCAUCCUCUGAGUGGCUCUCCAUCCGCGGUGUCAGGGGCAGGGAACCACCAGAGUCAUGACGCUCAGGGGGUGUUUGGGGGCUCCCCGGGGCACCAGAGGUCUAAAGAGAGGGAGGAGGAAGAAGGAUGGAUCAGACAGCCUGUCCUUGGAGGUGGAACCUUUCCCUCUCUACCUAGCCUGAAGCCUACCUUCCUACACUCAGCUAACUUGGUCACUCUUAGCCCCUCAACCUUUUGGAACCAUUUGUUUACAAAGAGACCUGUCUACUGUCUGUCCCCCAACCUUCCCCAAGUAAACUCAUGGUGAGAGCAGGAAUU